GAUCUGGUUGAUUCUGCCAGUAGUCAUAUGCUUGUUUCAAGGACUUAGCCAUGCAUGCCUCAGAAUCACUGCAUUGCAGGAAUCUGCGCAUGGCUCAUUACAUCAGACGUAAUCUGCCGCAAAAAUCUUGCGGUCUCCGCAACAUUGGAUAACUUGGCGAAACGCCAAGCUAAUACAUGAACCAACCGGAUGUUCUCUGUUCCGGCGGCAGGGCAACCUGCUGCCAUGGGGCGUCCAGCGAAUGAAUGAAAGUAAAACCAAUGCCUUCACCGGCAGUAACACUCAGAAGUGUUGAUUCAAUUCAUUCCGUGCGAAAGCCGGGUUUUUUUACCCGGCGUCUUUUGACGAACAACUGCCCUAUCAGCCAGCGAUGGCCGUGUAGUGGACUGCCAUGGCGUUGACGGGAGCGGGGGAUUAGGGUUCGAUUCCGGAGAGGGAGCCUGAGAAAUAGCUACCACUUCUACGGAGGGCAGCAGGCGCGCAAAUUGCCCAAUGUC
rnacentral:ncRNA from 1 species